rnacentral:tRNA from 1 species
GCCGACGUAGCUCAGCGGUAGAGCAACGCUUUUGUAAAGCGUGGGUCGUGGGUUCGAAUCCCUCCGUCGGCU